CGCGUAGUUAGCCGGCGCUUCUUUACCCACUACCCUCACCACAACCAUUGUUGCGGCUUGACCAUGAGCGAAAGAGGUUCACAACCCGAAGGCCUCCAUCCCUCACGCGGCGUCGCUGCAUCAGGCUUGCGCCCAUUGUGCAAUAUUCCCCACUGCUGCCUCCCGUAGGAGUCUGGGCCGUAUCUCAGUCCCAAUGUGACCGGUCACCCUCUCAGGCCGGCUACCCGUCAAAGCCUUGGUAGGCCAUCACCCCACCAACAAGCUGAUAGGCCGCGAGCCCAUCCCCCACCAGAAAAAUCCUUUCCACCAACCCCCAUGCGAAGACCAGUGAAUAUCCAGUAUUAGCACCGUUUCCGGGCGUUAUACCCAAAGAAGGGGCAGGUUACUCACGUGUACUCACCGUUCGCCACUCAUCCACCAACAAAAGCUGAGCUUCAGCGUUCGACUUGCUAUGUAGUUAAGCUACGCCGCCGAGCCGUUCGUUACCUGUACGACCGUACGGAAGUCCGUAAAACUACU
rnacentral:rRNA from 1 species